AGGAUGAUUAUUGGGCCUAAAGCAUCCGUAGCUCGUUUUGUAAGUUUUCGGUUAAAUCCAUGCGCUCAACGUAUGGGCUGCCGGGAAUACUGCAUAACUAGGAAGUGGGAGAGGUAGACGGUACUCGGUAGGAAGGGGUAAAAUCCUUUGAUCUAUUGAUGACCACCUGUGGCGAAGGCGGUCUACCAGAACACGUUCGACGGUGAGGGAUGAAAGCUGGGGGAGCAAACCGGAUUAGAUACCCGGGUAGUCCCAGCUGUAAACUAUGCAAACUCAGUGAUGCAUUGGCUUGUGGCCAAUGCAGUGCUGCAGGGAAGCCGUUAAGUUUGCCGCCUGGGAAGUACGUACGCAAGUAUGAAACUUAAAGGAAUUGGCGGGGGAGCACCACAAGGGGUGAAGCCUGCGGUUCAAUUGGAGUCAACGCCAGAAAUCUUACCCGGAGAGACAGCAGAAUGAAGGUCAAGCUGAAGACUUUACCAGACAAGCUGAGAGGUGGUGCAUGGCCGUCGCCAGCUCGUGCCGUGAGAUGUCCUGUUAAGUCAGGUAACGAGCGAGAUCCCUGCCUCUAGUUGCCACCAUUACUCUCAGGAGUAGUGGGGCGAAUUAGCGGGACCGCCGCAGUUAAUGCGGAGGAAGGAAGGGGCCACGGCAGGUCAGUAUGCCCCGAAACUCUGGGGCCACACGCGGGCUGCAAUGGUAGUGACAAUUGGUUCCGAAUCCGAAAGGAGGAGGUAAUCCUCAAACGCUACCACAGUUAUGACUGAGGGCUGCAACUCGCCCUCACGAAUAUGGAAUCCCUAGUAACUGCGUGUCAUUAUCGCGCGGUGAAUACGUCCCUGCUCCUUGCACACACCGCCCGUCGUUUCAUUGAAGUUUGCUUUUAGCGAGGUGACGUCUGAUUGGCGUUAUCGAACUUGAGGUAAGUGACAAGGGAAAAGUCGUAACAAGGUAACCAAGGGCGAAUUCCACAUUGGGCUGCAGCCCGGGGGAUCCACUAGUCUAG
rnacentral:rRNA from 2 species